rnacentral:misc_RNA from 1 species
CAACCCUCAAGACCCCUUCGGGGGACUUGGUGUUGGGGACCGGCACAGGGCCUGCUUGCUUGUCUCGCAGCGCCUCGCCGCCCCCGAAAUGAAUUGGCGGCCUCGUCGCGGCCUCCUCUGCGUAGUAGCACAACCUCGCAACGGGAGCGUGACGCGGCCACUGCCGUAAAACAACCCAAUUUUAUUAG